AGAGUUUGUUCCUGGCUCAGGACGAACGCUGGCGGCGUGCCUAAUACAUGCAAGUCGAGCGAGCUUGCCUAGAUGAUUUUAGUGCUUGCACUAAAUGAAACUAGAUACAAGCGAGCGGCGGACGGGUGAGUAACACGUGGGUAACCUGCCCAAGAGACUGGGAUAACACCUGGAAACAGAUGCUAAUACCGGAUAACAACACUAGACGCAUGUCUAGAGUUUGAAAGAUGGUUCUGCUAUCACUCUUGGAUGGACCUGCGGUGCAUUAGCUAGUUGGUAAGGUAACGGCUUACCAAGGCAAUGAUGCAUAGCCGAGUUGAGAGACUGAUCGGCCACAUUGGGACUGAGACACGGCCCAAACUCCUACGGGAGGCAGCAGUAGGGAAUCUUCCACAAUGGACGAAAGUCUGAUGGAGCAACGCCGCGUGAGUGAAGAAGGGUUUCGGCUCGUAAAGCUCUGUUGGUAGUGAAGAAAGAUAGAGGUAGUAACUGGCCUUUAUUUGACGGUAAUUACUUAGAAAGUCACGGCUAACUACGUGCCAGCAGCCGCGGUAAUACGUAGGUGGCAAGCGUUGUCCGGAUUUAUUGGGCGUAAAGCGAGUGCAGGCGGUUCAAUAAGUCUGAUGUGAAAGCCUUCGGCUCAACCGGAGAAUUGCAUCAGAAACUGUUGAACUUGAGUGCAGAAGAGGAGAGUGGAACUCCAUGUGUAGCGGUGAAAUGCAUAGAUAUUAGGAGGAACACCAGUGGCGAAGGCGGCUUACUGGACUGUAACUGACACUGAGGCUCGAAAGCGUGGGGAGCAAACAAGAUUAGAUACCCUGGUAGUCCACGCCGUAAAC
rnacentral:rRNA from 1 species